GAACAUGGAGGGUAGUAGAGAAGCAUCAACGAAUUCACUGCUAAAUGAUGGUGUAUCAGCCACGUAGUCGUUUAGGAAUGAGAGCUACCGAGUUGACUGUGCAGUCCAUCAUUGACAACUUACAGCAAGGCAGAGUCAGAUGGAUUACCAGGACGUGUACUACGAGCAUGUGCUGACCAACUGGCAAGUGUCUUCACUGACAUUUUCAACCUCUCCCUGUCUGAGUCUGUAAUUCCAACAUGUUUCAAGCAGACCACCAUAGUCCCUGAAAGAUUAUUGGAAUCUGUGUGGGUAGCUGGACAGGUAGGAUGACUGGCAAUAGUGAAGGUGAACAGAUGGUCAGGUGACAGAGGAAUGGAUGAGACUGAGGCAGGAAUUCCUUUAACCACAAAGUGGUAUAUGUACUGGUUAGUUUGUCUGUGCUGUAUAACAAAAGAAACAGAAUAACAUGUACCCAAUAAAAAUUCAAAUCAGAAAGUCAAA